rnacentral:rRNA from 1 species
CCUACGGGGGGCAGCAGUGAGGAAUAUUGGUCAAUGGGCGGAAGCCUGAACCAGCCAAGUAGCGUGAAGGAUGACGGCCCUAUGGAUUGUAAACCGCUUUUAUAGGGGAAUAAAACACCCCACGCGUAGGGUUUCGCGUGUACCGGAUGAAAAAGCAUCGGCUAACUCCGUGCCAGCAGCCGCGGUAAUACGGAGGAUCCGGGCGUUAUCCGGAUUUAUUGGGUUUAAAGGGAGCGUGGGCGGAAGAUCAAGUCAGCGGUAAAAUUGCGGGGCUCAACCCGGUCGAGCAGUGGAAACUGGGUUGCUUGAGUGCGCGAGAAGCAGGCGGAAUUCGUGGUGUAGCGGUGAAAUGCUUAGAUAUCACGAAGAACCCCGAUUGCGAAGGCAGCUUACUGCAGCGGAACUGACGCUGAUGCUCGAAAGUGUGGGUAUCGAACAGGAUUAGAUACCCGUGUAGUC